GACAAACGCUGGCGGCAUGCCUAACACAUGCAAGUCGAACGGACAGAACAGGGAAGCUUUUCGGAGUGGAACUGGAAAGUUAGUGGCGGAUGGGUGAGUAACGCGUGGACAACCUACCUUGUAAAGGGGAAUAACCUCGAGAAAUCGAAGCUAAUACCCCAUAAUAACCUUGCUUCGCAUGAAGUAAGGAGGAAAGGCGGCCUUAGCGCUGUCGAUACAAGAUGGGUCCGCGUCUGAUUAGCUAGUUGGCGAGGUAAAGGCUCACCAAGGCGACGAUCAGUAGCCGGCCUGAGAGGGUGAAUGGCCACAUUGGGACUGAGACACGGCCCAAACUCCUACGGGAGGCAGCAGUGGGGAAUCUUCCGCAAUGGGCGAAAGCCUGACGGAGCAAUGCCGCGUGAGUGAAGAAGGCCUUCGGGUUGUAAAACUCUGUCCUUAUCGAAGAGAGAGUGUUGUAGUAACUGACAAUACUAGGACGGUAGAUGAGGAGGAAGCCCCGGCUAACUAUGU
rnacentral:rRNA from 1 species